rnacentral:rRNA from 1 species
ACAUCCAGAGAACUUAGCAGAGAUGCUUUGGUGCCUUCGGGAACUCUGAGACAGGUGCUGCAUGGCUGUCGUCAGCUCGUGUUGUGAAAUGGUUGGGUUAAGUCCCGNAACGAGCGCAACCCUUAUCCUUUGUUGCCAGCGGCUCGGCCGGGAACUCAAAGGAGACUGCCGGUGAUAAACCGGAGGAAGGUGGGGAUGACGUCAAGUCAUCAUGGCCCUUACGGCCAGGGCUACACACGUGCUACAAUGGCGCAUACAAAGAGAAGCGACCUCGCGAGAGCAAGCGGACCUCAUAAAGUGCGUCGUAGUCCGGAUUGGAGUCUGCAACUCGACUCCAUGAAGUCGGAAUCGCUAGUAAUCGUAGAUCAGAAUGCUACGGUGAAUACGUUCCCGGGCCUUGUACACACCGCCCGUCACACCAUGGGAGUGGGUUGCAAAAGAAGUAGGUAGCUUAACCUUCGGGAGGGCGCUUACCACUUUGUGAUUCAUGACUGGGGUGAAGUCGUAACAAGGUAAGCGUACGUGU